UGAGGAAUUUUGGUCAAUGGACGCAAGUCUGAACCAGCCAAGUAGCGUGCAGGAUGACGGCCCUAUGGGUUGUAAACUGCUUUUAUAUGGGGAUAAAGUGGGGAACGUGUUCCCUUUUGCAGGUACCAUAUGAAUAAGGACCGGCUAAUUCCGUGCCAGCAGCCGCGGUAAUACGGAAGGUUCGGGCGUUAUCCGGAUUUAUUGGGUUUAAAGGGAGCGUAGGCCGUUUGGUAAGCGUGUUGUGAAAUGUAGGAGCUCAACUUCUAGAUUGCAGCGCGAACUGUCAGACUUGAGUGCGCACAACGUAGGCGGAAUUCAUGGUGUAGCGGUGAAAUGCUUAGAUAUCAUGAAGAACUCCGCUUGCGAAGGCAGCUUACGGGAGCGCAACUGACGCUGAAGCUCGAAGGUGCGGGUAUCGAACAGG
rnacentral:rRNA from 1 species